UGGGGAAUUUUGCACAAUGGGGGGAACCUUGAUGCAGCGACGCCGCGUGAGGGAUGGAGGCCUUCGGGUUGUGAACCUCUUUCGCUCGUGUGCAAGCCGCUAUUUGGGUAGUGGUGAGUGUAGCGGGUAAAGAAGCGCCGGCUAACUACGUGCCAGCAGCCGCGGUAAUACGUAGGGCGCGAGCGUUGUCCGGAUUUAUUGGGCGUAAAGGGCUUGUAGGCGGUUUGUCGCGCCUGUCGUGUAAUCCUCUGGCUUAACUGGGGGUGUGCGGUGGGUACGGGCAGGCUUGAGUGCGGUAGGGGAGAUUGGAAUUCCUGGUGUAGCGGUGGAAUGCGCAGAUAUCAGGAGGUACACCGGUGGCGAAGGCGGGUCUCUGGGCCGUUACUGACGCUGAGGAGCGAAAGCGUGGGGAGCGAACAGG
rnacentral:rRNA from 1 species